CCUACGUGAGGCAGCAGUGAGGAAUAUUGGUCAAUGGGCGUAAGCCUGAACCAGCCAAGUCGCGUGAGGGAUGAAGGUUCUAUGGAUCGUAAACCUCUUUUAUAAGGGAAUAAAGUGUGGGACGUGUCCUGUUUUGUAUGUACCUUAUGAAUAAGGAUCGGCUAACUCCGUGCCAGCAGCCGCGGUAAUACGGAGGAUCCGAGCGUUCUCCGGUUUUAUUGGGUUUAAAGGGUGCGUAGGCGGCCUUUUAAGUCAGCGGUGAAAGUUUGUGGCUUAACCAUAGAAUUGCCGUUGAAACUGGGAGGCUGGAGUAUCUUUGAGGCAGGCGGAAUGCGUGGUGUAGCGGUGAAAUGCUUAGAUAUCACGCAGAACCCCGAUUGCGAAGGCAGCCUGCCAAGCCAUGACUGACGCUGAUGCACGAAAGCGUGGGGAUCAAACAGGAUUAGAUACCCUUGUAGUC
rnacentral:rRNA from 1 species